rnacentral:rRNA from 1 species
ACACUCCUGCGGGAGGCAGCAGUGGGGAAUUUUGGACAAUGGGCGAAAGCCUGAUCCCGCAAUGCCGCGUGAGUGAAGAAGGCCUUCGGGUUGUAAAGCUCUUUUGUCAGGGAAGAAACGGUGAGAGCUAAUAUCUUUUGCUAAUGACGGUACCUGAAGAAUAAGCACCGGCUAACUACGUGCCAGCAGCCGCGGUAAUACGUAGGGUGCAAGCGUUAAUCGGAAUUACUGGGCGUAAAGCGUGCGCAGGCGGUUUUGUAAGUCUGAUGUGAAAUCCCCGGGCUCAACCUGGGAAUUGCAUUGGAGACUGCAAGGCUAGAAUCUGGCAGAGGGGGGUAGAAUUCCACGUGUAGCAGUGAAAUGCGUAGAUAUGUGGAGGAACACCGAUGGCGAAGGCAGCCCCCUGGGUCAAGAUUGACGCUCAUGCACGAAAGCGUGGGGAGCAAACAGGAUUAGAAACCCCAGUAGUCCCAUGA